ensembl:lincRNA
AGGCGAGCAGAUCACCUAGAUCGGGAGUUGAGACCAGCCUGGCCAAUAUGGUGAAACCCCGUCUCUACUAAAAAUUCAAAAAAUUAGCCAGACAUGGUGGUGUGUGCCUGUAAUCCCAGCUACUUGGGAGGCUGAGGCAGGAGAAUCGCUUGAACCUGGGAGGUGGAGGAUGCAGUGAGCUGAGCUCGAACCACUGUACUCCAGCCUGGGCACAACAGAGCGAGACUUCAUCUCAAAACAAAACAAAGAAACAAAAAACAGGACCACCAAAGGCUGAAAUACUCAUGUAUGACAUUUUGGGUCACCCCACUGAUUAAGCACUCCAACUGCUGAAGUGCUGGCAGGAGGCAAAGUAGCCAUGGAGUGAGCCAUAGAGUCAGUAAGCCAUCAAUAUCAUGCACAGGCAUGGGACCUGUGCAAAGGAGAUGACUAAAGCCAUUACUCAGAAUUUCCUUCCUUUUUGUGGCAUGUAAAUAUUUUAACUAACUUCCCUAUUUGUGUGGCUUUCCACAAAGAUUGCAUAUGCAUUGGUAUCAUCUAACCUUGUAAUUAUUUUGUGGUUUGAAAUAGAAUAGAAUUGCUACAAAACUGAAAAAAGAAAUAGACGUUAGUCAGAGGUCUUAGGGUUGAAACUUGAAGAAAGUGGAGAGAGUAUAGUGGCAUCCUUUUGGAAGUGGAAUAUGUUCAGUAGAAUAAGGUUUUCUGACUACCAGUCAAGUGGACACUUCAUCAAAGUCGACCUAAACAACUAAAAAUGACUUAAGAUAGUCGUCCCAUCAAAUAAACCUAUUGGAGACCACUUGGAGACACAUAGGACAGAUGACCCGCAAAUCCCACAUGAAGCAAGGAGAUUAAUAACAGAGAUUGUACUUUGCAGAGGAUGGAAGUGUCAAAGUGUUCUGACUUGCCUAAAUCAAGCAAAAGUUUCUGCAUCUACAAAACCAAGCAAGCCCCAACCAUGUUUACAUUCUUUUCUGCAUAUUUCUUUGCCCAGCAGCACCUCAGCACUGAAGAGUGUUCAAGAGUAAACAUCAUUCUUUAUAUAGACUCCAAGAAGAGGUAACCCAAGCAAAUAUCAUGUGACUAGAAG